GGAUAUAGGGGUAUGUGCCACUUUUGACAUGCCGGUUCAUUGCCUUUCCCAUUGAUGAACCGGGCUGAGAUUUGGUCUACCCCCCCAUUUUCGGGUAUGCUGAAUCUAGAAAUACUAAUGAACCAGCGAUCGGACAUUCCUAUCAAAAGUUAUGGAGAAAUGGAAAUUUCCCAUUGAAAAUGAAUGGGAGCGGAAAAUGGCCAAAGUCAGUGUUUCCAAGUGUUUGACUUUGUCUGGAAAUGUUGAAAAUGGGUUGUGAGCACGUUUCAGGCCAUUUCCUGUCGUUUGAGGGUUAGCUUCUCAGAGUGCUCCUGUGUUAGGGUUAGGAUUGGGGGAUGACUCCCGUCUCCCUCUAAGUUAUGACCCUGCUUGGGUCUUCAAGGAGUGGGGCGUGCACGGGUCUUCGCCCCACCGGACACACUCCCCUGGUCCCACUAAGAACACUACUUGUGUUUAAUAAAUAUUGUUUUUAAGUUGGCUUUAAUGGGUUGAGUUAUUGUUUUUAAAUAUCUUACAUUUUUUUUAACUGUUUUUUACACACAAACACACAAUACAUGAACUACACAUGAACUAUGUACAAACAAUGUGUGCAUCAUUGACAACGUUUCGACCCGACUUGGGUCUUCUUCAGGUCUGUGCACACAUAAGAAAGGGCUGCUGGGCACCAAUUCAUAGGUGUUGACAGCAGCUAAAAAAAGAAGAAAUGUCCCUGUUCCCUUCUCACCUUUUAUACCUUUUAACAAAUAAUUAACUGAAUUUCUCGGAUAUUUUAUGUUAUUUUCUACUCUAUUUAAUUUGAAAAUGUUAACCCUUUAACUGCUGAUUCUUAUUAAUCCAAAAUAAUAUAGGCUUAAGGCAGCAUUUCUCAAAGUGUGUGGCCCGCCCCCCCAGGGGGGCGCGGAGCCAUCUUUGAGAAGCUAACAAGUGGAGGGGAUGCAGGGGGUGCAUCUACGGCAGGGGGUGCAUUCUAUGGCAUAACACCUGUUAAGUAUGCUGCUAUCCCCACCUGUACAAUGUCCUCCUGAAAGUGUACAAAGACGCUUUCUGCUGUGCUAAUUCAUGGUGGGAAGUAGCUCAGAAACCAGGGCGGAGAUAACCACCAACGCCGUGCUAUGCCUCUCACAUUUUUAAAAGUGGUUUCCGUAACUUUAACCCUAAGACAGAAACCAGGGUCAUUUCUCUAAAAAAUUUAAAUUCAAAAUUAAAGAUUGGAAUCUUUUAUAAACGUUUUAUUUAUUAUAGGUUUAACCCUAACCCUAGCCCUAACUCGAACCCUAGGUGUAACCCUAACCCAGCUCUAAUAUUAACCCUAACCCUAACCGUAGUGUUUGAAACUACUAUCUAAGGUUGUUAUUGAAAAUAUGUUUAACCACUGACAUUUAAAAUUUCAGACCCAAAGUCUGAAGUUCUAAAACUAUCUGACACUCACCCUAGUUCUUAAAAAACCCCUAGGUCUGGUCAUUACACUGACCUUGGUUUAAUUAUAAUCCUAACCCAGUGUGUAACCCAAAGCCUAACCCUAGACCUAACCCAAACCCUAACCCUAACCCUAACCCUAAACCCUAACCCCUAGCACUUACAACCACCCUAGACCUAAACCAAACCCUAACCCUAACCCUAGCCCUAAUGCUAACCCCUAACCCUAAACCCUAACCCCUAGCACUUACCCUAACCCUAGACCUAAACCAAACCCUAACCCUAACCCUAAACCCAACCCUAACCCCUAACCCUAGACCUAACCCUAACCCUAGGCCUAACCCUAACCCUAACCCUAGACCUAAACCUAACCCCUGACCCUAGACCUAACCCUAACCCUAAUCCUAACCCCUAACCCUAACCCUAACCCUAACCCUAAAUGUUGG
rnacentral:lncRNA from 1 species